UUGCAUAUUACAGGGCAACAUCUCUAUUGGCAGGUUGCUACUGCUUAGACACACGAAUGUGAUCAUCAUUAUGUGUGUUCCUAUGAGUGUGCAUUCUGCCAAAGGAGAUUUGCCCGGCAAUUCUUCU
rnacentral:pre_miRNA from 1 species